rnacentral:rRNA from 1 species
UGGGGAAUUUUGGACAAUGGGCGAAAGCCUGAUCCAGCAAUGCCGCGUGUGUGAAGAAGGCCUUCGGGUUGUAAAGCACUUUUGUCCGGAAAGAAAUCCUCUGGGUUAAUACCUCGGGGGGAUGACGGUACCGGAAGAAUAAGCACCGGCUAACUACGUGCCAGCAGCCGCGGUAAUACGUAGGGUGCAAGCGUUAAUCGGAAUUACUGGGCGUAAAGCGUGCGCAGGCGGUUUUGUAAGACGGAUGUGAAAUCCCCGGGCUUAACCUGGGAACUGCAUUCGUGACUUCAAGGCUAGAGUAUGGCAGAGGGGGGUAGAAUUCCACGUGUAGCAGUGAAAUGCGUAGAGAUGUGGAGGAAUACCGAUGGCGAAGGCAGCCCCCUGGGCCAAUACUGACGCUCAUGCACGAAAGCGUGGGGAGCAAAC